UCAGGCGGCGCGUCAAGCGUCAGGAAAUGUGCCCGUAGAGGCUGGUGGCCGCUCUCAGGUUUUUCUCCGUGAUUUGCGGACAAGUUUAUUAAAUCUACCUUUUUCAAUUCUCGUCUUACGCCGGGCCUCUCCGGGAGCUGGGGCUUUUCCAAAUCUUCCGAAAUUUUCGCAGCGUUCAAUUUCAAAUCGGUGAAAAGUGCUCGCAGCGCCAAAAUGCCCAACCCUGCAAAUGAAAAUACACCGAUGGAGAUCGACGAGGACAGCUCCGAGAAGAAUACGAAGAUGUCCGGAAGCACCAUGAAGGUCAUGGCAUCUUCGGGUAUCGUCGGUUCCGUAUCUGUCAGCUUGCAUCCGCUGGUGAUCAUGAACAUCAGCGAGCAUUGGACCAGGCUCAGAGCUCAGGAAGGCAGUGAUCAAUUGGUGUAUGGUGCUUUGAUCGGCAAACAGAAGGGUCGUAACAUAGAAAUUAUGAACUCGUUUGAAUUGCUGUUUACCUGUAUCAGUGAUGAUGUCAUAAUCGAUAGAGAUUAUUAUAAUAUAAAGGAGGAGCAAUUCAAAUUAGUUUUUAGUGAAAUGGACUUUCUGGGUUGGUACACCACUGGUGAUAUGCCUAAUGAGAGAGACAUAAGAGUGCACAAGCAGCUCUGCGAGAUAAAUGAAAGUCCUGUAUUGUUAAAAUUAGAUCCAAGACCAAAAAAUACAGAGCAUCUAUCCGUCUCCAUGUACGAAUCAGUGAUUGAUUUAGUUAACGGCGAAGCCACCAUGUUAUUUGUUCCAUUAACUUAUACGUUAGCGACGGAAGAAGCUGAGAGGAUUGGUGUCGAUCAUGUACAAAGAAUGUGUAAUAACGAUCAAGGCGAAUGUUCAGUAGUGGCUGAACACUUAACAGCGCAACACAGUGCCAUUAAAAUGUUGCACGCUAGAGUAAAGCUCGUCCUAAGAUACGUACAGGCUGUACAAAAUAGAGAAUUGAAAGGAAAUCACGAGGUUCUUCGAGUGGCUUGUUCUUUAAGUCAUCGACUGCCUGUUUUAAACAAUCCAAAGUUUAAAGCUGACUUUUAUAAUCAAUGCAACGACUUUGGUUUGCUGACAUAUCUCGGUAUCAUAACUAAAGGAUGUAAUAAUAUAAAUCAAUUUGUCAACAAAUUCAACAUUCUGUACGAUAGACAAGGCGUGGGCCGACGUCUACGAAGUCUCUUCUUCUGAUGUGUAAAUGGAAUCUGUUGUUUUUAUACGCAUCUUUUUUACGUUUUAGAUAUACACACACAUAUAUUGUAUCAAAAAUAAAUAAAAAAUAAGGAAAUUAUAAAAGUUACAUAGCAGUUUUUUGAAGCAAGAUAUAACGGGAAAUGAUAGCAAGUAACGAUCCAAAACACGUAGUAUUUCGUCGGUAAUAUUAUUUGAAAAUAAUAUUUAUUGAAUGCUGUCUUGUAUAAGUGCUUUAUGUUUAACAUAUUUCAAUUGACGUGUGAUAUUAAUAAAAACUGUGAUGCAUUCAUAAGAAA
rnacentral:misc_RNA from 1 species